rnacentral:rRNA from 1 species
ACGAACGCUGGCGGCGUGCCUAAUACAUGCAAGUCGCACGCUUCUUUCCUCCCGAGUGCUUGCACUCAAUUGGAAAGAGGAGUGGCGGACGGGUGAGUAACACGUGGGUAACCUACCCAUCAGAGGGGGAUAACACUUGGAAACAGGUGCUAAUACCGCAUAACAGUUUAUGCCGCAUGGCAUAAGAGUGAAAGGCGCUUUCGGGUGUCGCUGAUGGAUGGACCCGCGGUGCAUUAGCUAGUUGGUGAGGUAACGGCUCACCAAGGCCACGAUGCAUGGCCGACCUGAGAGGGUGAUCGGCCACACUGGGACUGAGACACGGCCCAGACUCCUACGGGAGGCAGCAGUAGGGAAUCUUCGGCAAUGGACGAAAGUCUGACCGAGCAACGCCGCGUGAGUGAAGAAGGUUUUCGGAUCGUAAAACUCUGUUGUUAGAGAAGAACAAGGACGUUAGUAACUGAACGUCCCCUGACGGUAUCUAACCAGAAAGCCACGGCUAACUACGUG